rnacentral:rRNA from 1 species
GACGAACCGUGCGAACGUUGUUCGGAUUCACGGGGCGUAAAGGGCGCGUAGGCGGACGGUCAAGUCAGGGGUGAAAUCUUUCAGCUUAACUGGAAAAGUGCCUCCGAUACUGAUCGCCUCGAGGGAGGUAGGGGCAUGUGGAACUUCCGGUGGAGCGGUGAAAUGCGUAGAUAUCGGAAGGAACGCCGGUGGCGAGAGCGACGUGCUGGACCUCUUCUGACGCUGAGGCGCGAAAGCUAGGGGAGCAAACGGG